GACGAACGCUGGCGGCGUGCCUAAUACAUGCAAGUAGAACGCUGAAGGAGGAGCUUGCUUCUCUGGAUGAGUUGCGAACGGGUGAGUAACGCGUAGGUAACCUGCCUGGUAGCGGGGGAUAACUAUUGGAAACGAUAGCUAAUACCGCAUAAGAGUAGAUGUUGCAUGACAUUUACUUAAAAGGUGCAAUUGCAUCACUACCAGAUGGACCUGCGUUGUAUUAGCUAGUUGGUGAGGUAACGGCUCACCAAGGCAACGAUACAUAGCCGACCUGAGAGGGUGAUCGGCCACACUGGGACUGAGACACGGCCCAGACUCCUACGGGAGGCAGCAGUAGGGAAUCUGCGGCAAUGGACGGAAGUCUGACCGAGCAACGCCGCGUGAGUGAAGAAGGUUUUCGGAUCGUAAAGCUCUGUUGUAAGAGAAGAACGAGUGUGAGAGUGGAAAGUUCACACUGUGACGGUAUCUUACCAGAAAGGGACGGCUAACUACGU
rnacentral:rRNA from 1 species